UGUAAUACUUGAUUUAGUGCUUUUAAAUGCAUGAAUUUGGCAUGUUGUGGAUUUAUGAUUUUACUCCAGAGCGAGAACACACUGGAUGUAAAAAAUAAAUGGUUUUCUCAUGUUAUCUAAAAAUCAAAAAGUUUAGAUAUGCUCCUUUUGCAUUUUUUAGUAGGAGCCAUCACUGAAUAUGGUUUCUUAAAAGAAACGAAAAUCCACUUUCUGAUAGAAUAAUUGAUAUUGCACAUAAUUUUUCAUGUGUUGCAGCCUGCUGUUUGUCAGUUUUAAGAAUUCCUUUUAACAUUCAUGCUUCAUGAACCUCCUUUUCUCUUGUCCUUUGGCCCAUUCCAGGGACGCAGCUGUAACCUUAAUUUGUCUGUGACGAAGGUCUUUAUGAUAUAAGUUUUUCAAAAAUGAGUUUUCUUCUAAUGAUAUUAGUAUUUUGCAGACAACGUGUACAUGGCAGCCUCCUUAUGAAAAUGAAAUAAAUACCAUUUUCGAGAAGAAAGUAUCUUUGCGGAUUAAAGAACGCUUGUAUAAUGCCCGAAACCUCAAAAGGGUGGUUCGUUGCACACCGGAGGUUCCAUGAGUUUUGCGGGCCACCGAUGAAGAUUGCGAAAGUUAAACGGGGGAGAGGAUGUGCCUCUUUUUGAGGUCUUCGAGGAGACACAUUAGAAGGAGGACGGUACAAGAGAAGGUUUGGUCGAGCCACGUGCUAAGGAGACAUAUGAAGGAUUUCAAAAAGGUUUGGAAGAUUGGCGUCAGACCCAGCCUGCUUCAGAGGAUGGUACCGCAGUCCAACCAUCGCCUGCGGAUAUGA